AACGAACGCUGGCGGCAUGCCUAACACAUGCAAGUCGAACGAGACCUUCGGGUCUAGUGGCGCACGGGUGCGUAACGCGUGGGAACCUGCCCUUAGGUUCGGAAUAACUCCCCGAAAGGGGUGCUAAUACCGGAUAAUGUCUUCGGACCAAAGAUUUAUCGCCUUUGGAUGGGCCCGCGUUGGAUUAGCUAGUUGGUAGGGUAAAAGCCUACCAAGGCGACGAUCCAUAGCUGGUCUGAGAGGAUGAUCAGCCACACUGGGACUGAGACACGGCCCAGACUCCUACGGAAGGCAGCAGUGGGGAAUAUUGGACAAUGGGCGAAAGCCUGAUCCAGCAAUGCCGCGUGAGUGAUGAAGGCCUUAGGGUUGUAAAGCUCUUUUACCCGGGAUGAUAAUGACAGUACCGAGAGAAUAAGCUCCGGCUAACUCCGU
rnacentral:rRNA from 1 species